rnacentral:rRNA from 1 species
UACGGAAGGCAGCAGUGGGGAAUAUUGCACAAUGGGCGCAAGCCUGAUGCAGCCAUGCCGCGUGUAUGAAAAAGGCCUUCGGGUUGUAAAGUACUUUCAGUCGUGAGGAAGGUGUUAAGGUUAAUAACCUUAGCAAUUGACGUUAGCGACAGAAGAAGCACCGGCUAACUCCGUGCCAGCAGCCGCGGUAAUACGGAGGGUGCGAGCGUUAAUCGGAAUUUACUGGGCGUAAAGGGCACGCAGGCGGUUAAUUAAGUUGGAUGUGAAAUCCCCGGGCUUAACCUGGGAAUGGCAUUCAAGAUUGGUUAGCUAGAGUCUUGUAGAGGGGGUAGAAUUCCAUGUGUAGCGGUGAAAUGCGUAGAGAUGUGGAGGAAUACCGGUGGCGAAGGCGGCCCCUGGACAAAGACUGACGCUCAUGUGCGAAAGCGUGGGGAGCAAACAGGGAUUAGAUACCCGU